UACGGAGGGUGCAAGCGUUAUCCGGGAUCACUGGGUUUAAAGGGUGCGUAGGCGGCUAUGUAAGUCAGUUGUGAAAUACCUCGGCUUAACCGAAGGAAGUGCGAUUGAUACUGCGUAGCUUGAAUCAGGUUGAGGUAGGCGGAAUGUGACAUGUAGCGGUGAAAUGCUUAGAUAUGUCAUAGAACACCGAUUGCGAAGGCAGCUUACUGGGCCUUGAUUGACGCUGAGGCACGAAAGCGUGGGGAGCAAACAGG
rnacentral:rRNA from 1 species